AUUGAACGCUGGCGGUAGGCCUAACACAUGCAAGUCGAGCGGCUGCACGGUGAUUGCUCCUGCAUUCAGGUGCCGAGGGGUGAGUGAUGCCUAAAUACAUCCCUGUCUGUGGUUUAUAAGGUGCGAACGUGGGGACUCAUACCCCAUACGUGCUUAGGGAGUAAGUGUGAGAUCUUCGGACCUCCCGCUAUCACAUGAGCCGAUGUCGGAUUAGCUAGUUGGCGGGGUAAAGGCCUACCAAGGCGACGAUCCGUAGCUGGUCUGAGAGGAUGAUCAGCCACACUGGAACUGAGACACGGUCCAGACUCCUACGGGAGGCAGCAGUGGGGAAUAUUGGACAAUGGGCGCAAGCCUGAUCCAGCCAUACCGCGUGGGUGAAGAAGGCCUUCGGGUUGUAAAGCCCUUUUGUUGGGAAAGAAAAGCAGCAGGUUAAUACCCCGCUGUUCUGACGGUACCCAAAGAAUAAGCACCGGCUAACUUCGUG
rnacentral:rRNA from 1 species